rnacentral:rRNA from 1 species
GAUGAACGCUGGCGGCGUGCCUAAUACAUGCAAGUCGAGCGAACAGAUGAGGAGCUUGCUCCUCUGACGUUAGCGGCGGACGGGUGAGUAACACGUGGAUAACCUACCUAUAAGACUGGGAUAACUUCGGGAAACCGGAGCGAAUACCGGAUAAUAUAUUGAACCGCAUGGUUCAAUAGUGAAAGACGGUUUUGCUGUCACUUAUAGAUGGAUGCGCGCCGCAUUAGCUAGUUGGUAAGGUAACGGCUUACCAAGGCAACGAUGCGUAGCCGACCUGAGAGGGUGAUCGGCCACACUGGAACUGAGACACGGUCCAGACUCCUACGGGAGGCAGCGGUGGGGAAUCUACCGCAAUGGGCGAGAGCGUGACGGAGCAACGCCGCGUGAGUGAUGAAGGUCUUCGGAUCGUAAAACUCUGUUAUGCGGGAAAAGCAAAUGUGUAAGUAUCUAUGCACGUCUUGACGGUACCGAAUCAGAAAGCCACGGCUAACUACGU